AUUUGUUGUAAUCUUGUGCAAAUAUUUGACCCGUCUCAAGAUCCUUUUUCUGAUUUUGUGUUUAAAUUUUCUUCCAUUUGUUGUAUAAAGCUAUUCUUUGCAAGUGUGAAGCCUCAGUAUGGAUUUCGGAAUCUUCAUGGAGGUUUCCUAUUUUGAAGUGUCCAGUUUACGCCUUGCAUCUCAUAAGCAUUGAAAAGAUGAUGUUUGCUUUGCAAAUAUGUGGAAUUGAGCAUCAUCAUAAUUUACAUCAGAGUCUUCAUCAUCUUCAUUGUGGUCAUUUUCUUCAUCUUUUUCAUUGUUCAUUGGUACUAAUUUUCUACUGCUUUGGAAGACUGAAAAACUCAUUUCAAAUCUUCUGAAAUGUUUAGCAGUUCUGGUCCCUUAAUAUACUACAGACAAUGAUUAUUGUCGAACAAAAUAAUUUUUGAUUGCUAGUCACCAUUAAUUUUUUCGUGAGAUAGGUUCAUUUUGCAGAAAUUUGUGGGUGAAUUUGGUUUCAACAUAAAAGAAUUUGGUGGUAGCAGGAUGAAGAGGAACAUUAUUGCUUAUUGUCUCGUUGGAUGGAUUAUUUGAUGGUUACGACAUCAAGGUGAACUUCUUUCUUGUGAGAUAGGCACUCCUUGAUUUAUUUUACACAGCUGCAGCAACAGAUCUGGAGGCUUUUUGAAAUGGCAGGCAAUCAAUAACAGCAUUCAUGGACUGCCGCUGCAUACACCAGUUUUCUGCAAUAAAUCCCUGAAGUUUAUCAGGUACCCAGGAGAACGUUCUUCAUGAUUCCAUUGGUAAUUCACUGAUAAUGAUCUGAAACCAUAGGGAACCUGGUGAUAUUCUUUUGAGGCUUUUGACGCUUGUCCAAUAUAUUGCAAGUGGUUUGAAAUAUUUGUGCAAUGUAAUGGCAUUUUACAAUUCGUGUAAAUACCAAUUUGCACUACCUUCAUGCACUAAAAUAUGUUAAUUUCCUUCUAUGCUUCGUGUAUAUAACGACGAAAGUUUGGAUAGACUACAUUAGUAUCCUUUUGAAUAGAUAAGAUAUGAAAUGAAAGGGUAUUUGAGUUUCAUUUUAUGUUAA